rnacentral:misc_RNA from 1 species
AUUGAUCAAUGUCGCUUGUCCCCUAUAUCAAUUCAAAUCAAAAUGUUACAAGUACUAAACAUGGACACCACAUAUAAAUAGCACAAGAAGAAACAAAAUAAGCGGGUAGAAUGUAACUGUGACAUAUCCCACUUAAGUCAUAGAUAUUAAAGUAAUUUGCCUGAUAAGAUGGCCUUUAAAUAAAAAAGGAUUGUCCUGUGGACCAGUGAUCAAAUAUUAAUAUGCAAAAUUAUCAACCAGAUAAGAACAUCUUUUACAAAAAGGAAUGUGCAAAUGAUGAGAAAUAUUUACUAGCCCCCCAAACAUAAUAUCUUUUUGUAGCACCAGUUAUACUAAAAUAUGUAAGGUAAGCAAAAUCAAGAACAUCACCUUUAUAUUGUUCAACAAGAA